ensembl:lncRNA
GCAAUUAUUAUCCUUCUACAUGAAUUCAUAUUUGUGAUAUUUUUCAAGUAUUAUGAACUAAGUUACUAUAUUUAUGUAUAAUCCAUGGUGUGUGAUUAAUGUUUCGUAGGAGACAGGCCUUGUUUGGAUUGUGUGUGUGUGUGUGUGUGUGUGUGUGUGUGUGUGUGUCAUGCUUAUAAGUUUCCAGGAAAUGCCGGAGCACCCGAGAACGAGGAGCUUGAAUCAUAAAGCUGAAGAUGAAAGACAUUCCGACUCUCGGGUUCUUAUUAACGGAGCAAAAGACGGAAGUGUUCAAUCAAGCAGAACGAGCAGGAAUCCCUCUGUGGUUAAGGGAAACACCGUUGAACCAGCGCGCGCACACACACACACGCAGAAGCACAUUCCAUUCAAUCUCAUGUCUGGUAGACAUGGAGCUGAGCCACGUGGUUCACACAUAUUUGGCCCCAGCUGUAAGUUCAUGAGGUAACCACACACACACACACACGCACGCACACACACACAUCCAAUCCCAUUCCCACACUGCAAUCCGAUACCUUUUAAGAUCAUCAGCUCUCCGACCCGGAGAGAGACAGAGAGCGUGUAUUAGGUUUUGCUGGCCUGGUAAUGCGUGUCUACAGGUUGCGUGUGUUCCACGGAUAUAGGGUUACCUCCCAGUUUGACUUCGUCUUCUUUCAUUUACGCCGCACGUCACUUGUCACCUUUCAGAAAGGAGACCUUUGACAUGACGACGGUAGUCGAAUCUGGAAACGUUAGCAGUCUUGCUGAGUGAACAGCUGUCGACGGAACGGUCUGUGGAGGAAAAAAGCCAUUUUAAAAAAUGGCUGCGCUCAAGAGUCUUGGAAUUUGAACCCGCACAUUUCUAGCUACUAGCGGAGAACCUUCACGCUAUUUGUUAGCUUGGAUAGUGGGCUGUUAGUGUAGAUUUAAGGCGUA